rnacentral:rRNA from 1 species
GUGGGGAAUAUUGCACAAUGGGCGAAAGCCUGAUGCAGCAACGCCGCGUGAGGGACGACGGCCUUCGGGUUGUAAACCUCUUUUAGUAGGGAAGAAGCGAAAGUGACGGUACCUGCAGAAAAAGCACCGGCUAACUACGUGCCAGCAGCCGCGGUAAUACGUAGGGUGCAAGCGUUAUCCGGAAUUAUUGGGCGUAAAGAGCUCGUAGGCGGUCUGUCGCGUCUGCUGGGAAAACUGGAGGCUCAACCUCCAGCCUGCAGUGGGUACGGGCAGACUAGAGUGCGGUAGGGGAGAUUGGAAUUCCUGGUGUAGCGGUGGAAUGCGCAGAUAUCAGGAGGAACACCGAUGGCGAAGGCAGAUCUCUGGGCCGUAACUGACGCUGAGGAGCGAAAGCGUGGGGAGCGAACAGGAUUAGAUACCCGUGUAGUCC